GGACAGGUGGCGGAGCCCGGUUGAACGCGCCGCACUCGAAAUGCGGUAUAGUGGUAACACUAUCGAGGGUUCGAAUCCCUCCCUGUCCG
rnacentral:tRNA from 1 species